rnacentral:rRNA from 1 species
UACGGAGGAUGCGAGCGUUAUCCGGAUUUAUUGGGUUUAAAGGGUGCGUAGGCGGAUUGUCAAGUCAGCGGUAAAAUUGAGAGGCUCAACCUCUUCCCGCCGUUGAAACUGGUGGUCUUGAGUGGAUGAGAAGUACGCGGAAUGCGUGGUGUAGCGGUGAAAUGCAUAGAUAUCACGCAGAACUCCGAUUGCGAAGGCAGCGUACCGGCAUCCAACUGACGCUGAGGCACGAAAGCGUGGGGAUCAAACAGG